rfam:Myotis davidii contig110050, whole genome shotgun sequence.
GGCAGUUCUUGGGUGAUGCACCCCAGAAUCGGGCUCCCUCCUCUCUGGUUCCCGGGGUGCAUCACCCAAGAGCCGCU